rnacentral:tRNA from 1 species
CUCGGUAGCUUAGUUGGUAAAGCGUUCGUCUAGCAUACAAGAGUCCUGGGUUUAAAUCCCGCCGAG